ensembl:lncRNA
CAUCUGAGGAGCAGGAAGGGGAGAUUAUUUUUUUGUGUUGGUUGUAGUGAGGAAAAUAAGUGUCGGUUACACAAACCUUGCUAAAGCUUUCAUCCUGUUUGGGGUUUGAGGCGGCUUGAAGCUUCUCUAACAAAGCAAGAGUGGCUGGGGGAAGUAGGGCACAUGCUGCCUUUAAUCCAUUGAGCCUGACCUAGGCACUCGUUGAUGUCCCAAGGAAAUGUUCAAAGAAGCUCUACAAUUUGGUCUUUCCAGAAGCUGCUUACACAGUCAUUUGCUCCAGUUCAUUGCCCCAAGCCUGGCGCCACAUGCAGCAAUGCGAAAUCAUUCCAGAUUUAAAAAAAAAUAAAGUACUGAAGUUCUAACAAAGGCACACAAUUAUAAAAUAACUAGAAAGAAAAGAGAUGAUGAUGUGGAAAAUAGACACACGUCAGUGGUUCUAAAAGAAAGAAGAAAUAAAGGUAUAAAUGUGAUGGACCAGCAGUAGCCAUCUUGGAAACAUAAAGCAAGGAGCCAACAUGCUAAGAGAGAAUCCUCAACAAUACUACUUCCUCUACAGCCCGGAUGUAACCGCAACUGUCUUUAGCGUAAUAUACCCAGGCAUUAUGGGACUUUUCCCUGGGCCUCCAGAGAACGGAGGACUGGAACUCGGCCCCACCAGAAAUCAGACCAGACCAGAACCAGAAUUCGAGUUCUCUGCCAAGAGGAGGUGACCAGUCUCCAAUCCUCAGCUCAGGCUGAGGGCCCUUUGACCAGAUUCCUGCAUCCAGGACAGGGGGACUAGAAAAACAGGUCUGGCACAAAGAAGGUCCUUAAUAAUCAUUCAUUAAAGUUUUAUUUUGAAUCUCACUUCCAUUCUUUUUCUUUAACACCCUCUGCAGGAGGUAAUAAUGAAGACUAAAAUGUCAAGUAGGCAAUAAGAGGAGGCAAUGUAGGAACAGAGAAAAUCCACAAACCUGAUCAUUGGUUCUUGGAUUACUGACCAUUAACC